rnacentral:tRNA from 1 species
UUUGAGAUAGUUUAAAUAAAAUACUAUUUUUGGGUAGUAGAAAUCCCCUAUGGGGUCUUACUG